AUGCAUUCUCAUCCAAUACAUCAAAUAAUCAAUUUGAGCUCUCUGGCUGAUCGGUCUAUGGUGGUGGAGUUAUUUUUAUCUAAAUUAUUGGAUCCUCAAUCCUGAUAUCUAUUAUAGCAUGAGUACUGGUAUGCAAAAUAAAAUCUUUUAGAGAAUGUGAUGCAUGACUAAUAUGAAGAUGAUCCAAUUGGUCAUCGUAGUCACAUUUCUACACUCAGCUAACUAGC
rnacentral:lncRNA from 1 species